UAGUCCACGCCGUAAACGAUGGAUACUAGUUGUUGGGGUUUACCUCAGUGACUAAGCGAAAGUGAUAAGUAUCCCACCUGGGGAGUACGUUCGCAAGAAUGAAACUCAAAGGAAUUGACGGGGGCCCGCACAAGCGGUGGAGCAUGUGGUUUAAUUCGAUGAUACGCGAGGAACCUUACCAGGGCUUAAAUGUAAGUUGCACUAGCUAGAGAUAGCUAUUUCUUCGGACUACUUACAAGGUGCUGCAUGGUUGUCGUCAGCUCGUGCCGUGAGGUGUCAGGUUAAGUCCUAUAACGAGCGCAACCCCUACCGUUAGUUGCCAGCAUGUAAAGAUGGGGACUCUAACGGGACUGCCGGUGCAAACCGAGAGGAAGGUGGGAUGACGUCAAAUCAUCACGGCCCUUACGUCCUGGGGCUACACACGUGCUACAAUGGGUAUAUACAGAGAGCAGCCAACUGGCGACAGUGAGCGAAUCUAUAAAGUA
rnacentral:rRNA from 1 species